rnacentral:rRNA from 1 species
CACUCCAGCCAUACCAUCCUGAGCGUGCCUGAGCUCAUCUGAUCUCGGAAGCUAAGCAGGGUCUGGUUAAUACUUGGAUGGGAGACUGCCUGGGAAUACUGGGUGCUGUAGGAU